rnacentral:lncRNA from 1 species
CCGCCGGAGCGCUCCGACAGCAGCGGCAGGACAGCGCGGGGACUGGCAGCCGGGGAGAGGAAGGAGGCGACGAGCAGGCGAGGAGGCCAUGGGAACUGCCUCCGCUUGCGCCGGCAUCCUCGUCCGCUCCUUGCGUGGUAUUUGGAGCCUGCACGCAGAAGCUCGGCCUGACAUGCCACCUGCCACAGCUUGAGGCUUGGGGCAGCCCACAAGGGACCUGCGGAGGUUUCGGUGUAGAUAUCCAGAAUAUGGAAGACCUGAUUCCUGCCUACGCCUGUCCAAGAUUAUACAAUAGAAAUAAUUAAUCUGAUGAAACUCUGAAGUUAGAAGAAAACCAGUUUAGUGCUGAGAAAGCAUAUGAAAUGAAACCACAGAUCUUCGGAUUUUUCUCUUCGAGGAAAAAAAAAAUCUUCCAUCAUGACUAAUGUUACUUAUCAUCUUCCAGAGCUAGAGGUCUAUCUUUAAAUCCUUAUGCACGCAGACUCGCCCACAU